rnacentral:rRNA from 1 species
UGCGUAGGCGGAUCAAUAAGUCAGUGGUGAAAUCUCUCGGCUCAACCGGGAAACUGCCAUUGAUACUGUUGAUCUUGAGUUCGGUUGAGGUAGGCGGAAUGUGUAAUGUAGCGGUGAAAUGCUUAGAUAUUACACAGAACACCAAUUGCGUAGGCAGCUUACUAGACCGACACUGACGCUGAGGCGCGAAAGCGUGGGGAGCGAACAGGAUUAGAUACCCUGGUAGUCC